rnacentral:rRNA from 1 species
GAUGAACGCUGGCGGCGUGCCUAACACAUGCAAGUCGAGCGAAGCGCCUUACUUGAUUUCUUCGGGAUGAAAGUAUUGUGACUGAGCGGCGGACGGGUGAGUAACGCGUGGAUAACCUGCCUCAUACAGGGGGAUAACAGUUAGAAAUGACUGCUAAUACCGCAUAAGACCACAGCACCGCAUGGUGCAGGGGUAAAAACUCCGGUGGUAUGAGAUGGAUCCGCGUUGGAUUAGCUAGUUGGCAGGGCAGCGGCCUACCAAGGCGACGAUCCAUAGCCGGCCUGAGAGGGUGAACGGCCACAUUGGGACUGAGACACGGCCCAG